rnacentral:rRNA from 1 species
GUUGGCGACCAAAACGAAAAGGAAACACCCGUUCCCAUUUCGAACACGGAAGUUAAGUUUUUCGGUGAUCUGAGUUGUACUGCCUUUGGGUGGGAAGUUCAGGACGUUGCCAACU